UCCGAUAUGGUGUAGUGGCCAACAUGAUGCCCUCUCACCUUGUGAGAGGUUAGGCAUAGCCCCGAGUUCGAUUCUCGGUUUCGGAA
rnacentral:tRNA from 3 species